CAGGAAGCUAUAUGAGGAGUGUCUUGCUAAAAAGGCAAUUGAAAGUAUUUGACAAUCAAUCUAGUAGCAAGCAACAGCAAAGUACAAUUUCAGGAUUGUUUCAGCUGUUUGUUAAUGUAGUUUGCUGAGUGUUCUGUAUUAAAAUAAGCUACACUAUUUCCCAAAUGUGAGUUCAACGUGUUUACAGAAAGGUAAGGUAAUUUCAUUUGUGCUUAAUGUUUGCUCUAGAGAAAAAUGGGUGCUUAAUUUCUAAAUAUUUAAAAACAAAUUUGAAUAAAUUUUUAACUUAAGUUAAUAUCUUUUCAGUUCCUUUUUUGACUAACACUUACUGCAUUUUUGCUAGAUGCUAUGAUACAAAUUAUUGAGCUGAAGCUUGACUACAAAAAUUAAAUCGAAUUUGCAAUAUGUCAAAAAAUAAAUAAAUAGAUAAAAAUCGCAAUUAGAAAUUUUCCCUAAAUUGCACAGCCCUUACUGCUACAGAAAGCUUUUCUAUACUCUCAGGAAUUUAAAAUGGGCAAGACUUACUUCAGAACUCAAGAGUUAAACCAGAGAUGAGCGUAGCACCUCACUGCCUCAAAUAAUAGCUCAAAUGCCAUGCUCAACAUGUCCUUCCUGUGACCACUACUAAAUAAUCACCACCAAACUACCCAUUAUUCCUCCUGAGCACACGGUUUACAUGUGAGAGAGCCUAGGAGGGUGGGCAGGCUAACGCUCAGCUCCACGGAGCCCCUGGUGAGCCCUCAAGGCUGUGAAAAUGCUCACUGAAGAUUUUGUAAAUCUAGCUGCAAUGGGAAAUUAAUGAGGUAAAUCCCAGGGGGUGCUCCAUCAAAAGUAACUCAGGCAACAACACAACAGGCAACAGGACUCAGAAGAGGCUGCCUAACCAGCGGACUUGCAAGAAGCAGUUUCAAAAAAGUUGGAGUGUAAGGGGAGGACAUGAGCUCUUCGCCAUCUGUAAUAAGAUGGCCGUCACAGGUGCACGUUAGUCGAGACGUUGCGGGGCUAAUUCAUCACUCUCCCUUUCUCCUGGCAACAGCUACAUCUUUUACUCGCUACUUAUAUGUGCAAGAUUCCCCUUCGGACAUCUCUGACAAGUACAAAGAUGUACAGUAUGCCAAAUCGCCAUCUCUGUGGUAGUUUUAUAAGAUUGUAACUUCUCUAUUGGCCUACAAUCUUUGUUUUUACUUUAAAAAAUGUCUGCAAACAAUAUUUUCUGGCUGUAAAAAUUAGUAGGUAACACUCAUGAUUCCAUAAUAACUUGAUAUAUGUCGUUUGGAGGCUGUCAAUUUAUAUAAUUAAUUUUGUCUGCUGAGAAAUUGCUUCUGAUUUUCUGUGGUGUCCUUGAGCACAAUUUAAAUAAAACUGAUAUAAAAUGGA